AUUGAACGCUGGCGGCAUGCCUUACACAUGCAAGUCGAACGGUAACAGGUCUUCGGAUGCUGGCGAGUGGCGAACGGGUGAGUAAUACAUCGGAACGUGCCCGAUCGUGGGGGAUAACGGAGCGAAAGCUUUGCUAAUACCGCAUACGAUCUACGGAUGAAAGCAGGGGACCGCAAGGCCUUGCGCGGACGGAGCGGCCGAUGGUAGAUUAGGUAGUUGGUGGGCUAAAAGCUUACCAAGCCGACGAUCUGUAGCUGGUCUGAGAGGACGACCAGCCACACUGGGACUGAGACACGGCCCAGACUCCUACGGGAGGCAGCAGUGGGGAAUUUUGGACAAUGGGCGAAAGCCUGAUCCAGCCCUGCCGCGUGCAUGAUGAAGGCCUUCGGGUUGUAAACUGCUUUUGUACGGAACGAAAAGACUCUUUCUAAUAAAGAGGGUCCAUGACGGUACCGUAAGAAUAAGCACCGGCUAACUACGUG
rnacentral:rRNA from 1 species